rnacentral:rRNA from 1 species
UAAGGAAUAUUGGUCAAUGGACGCAAGUCUGAACCAGCCAUGCCGCGUGGAGGAUGAAGGUCCUCUGGAUUGUAAACUUCUUUUAUCGGAGAAGAAACCCCGGAAUUCUUUCUGGGUUGACGGUACCCGAUGAAUAAGCACCGGCUAACUCCGUGCCAGCAGCCGCGGUAAUACGGAGGGUGCAAGCGUUAUCCGGAUUCACUGGGUUUAAAGGGAGCGUAGGUGGGAUGGUAAGUCAGUGGUGAAAUCUCCGGGCUUAACUCGGAAACUGCCGUUGAUACUAUCAUUCUUGAAUAUUGUGGAGGUAAGCGGAAUAUGUCAUGUAGCGGUGAAAUGCUUAGAUAUGACAUAGAACACCGAUAGCGAAGGCAGCUUGCUACACAAUUAUUGACACUGAGGCUCGAAAGCGUGGGGAUCAAACAG